rnacentral:rRNA from 1 species
UGAGACAGGNGNNGCAUGGCUGUNNUCAGCUCGUGUUGUGAAAUGUNGGGUUAAGUNNCGCAACGAGCGCAANCCUUAUCCUUGUUUGCCAGCACGUAAUGGUGGGAACUCCAGGGAGACUGCCGGUGAUAAACCGGAGGAAGGUGGGGACGACGUCAAGUCAUCAUGGCCCUUACGAGUAGGGCUACACACGUGCUACAAUGGCGCAUACAGAGGGCNNCCAACCAGCGAUGGUGAGCGAAUCCCAAAAAGUGCGUCGUAGUCCGGAUUGGAGUCUGCAACUCGACUCCAUGAAGUCGGAAUCGCUAGUAAUCGUGAAUCAGAAUGUCACGGUGAAUACGUUCCCGGGCCUUGUACACACCGCCCGUCACACCAUGGGAGUGGGCUGCAAAAGAAGUGGGUAGUUAACNUCGGGAGGAC